ACCCUCUGGUUCCUUUUCUCAUCAGAUCUAGCUGCUGGUNUUGAUACUUGUAAAGCAGGAAGAUUACACUGAAGCUGUCCUCACUGAGAUGUAGUUUGUUAAGGAGCAUAUGGGCCAGAUUCAAAGAGGC
rnacentral:snoRNA from 1 species